rnacentral:rRNA from 1 species
ACUAGACUAACUGAAAUCACAAAAUCACAAAUAGUGCUUAUUGUGAUAACGUAAGGGAAAAAAUUGAUAUUACCUUACUAUAAGUGUUGUCUAAAUAACUGGUGCCAGAAGACUCGGUAACACCAGAAACGCGUAACGUGUAGUCUGUCUUAAACAUGCGUAAAGGGUAAGUACGCUGCUUUACAAUUCUAUUUUUAAAAAAGCUAAUUAGUAAUAUUCCGUCUGAUUCCAGCUAAGGUAGUAUCUGCCUUUUCUUGCCUUCCCCUCCAUAGGACUUGUCCUCCCCUAUUAAUUAGUAAAAUUAAGUAAAAAGGGGUGCUUUGCGCAGGCACACCUUCGGUUGGAAAAGACAGGGAGGCACUACGUGGUGCUAAAGCAUGCGGAGAGGACUACAAAUUCUCAUACCUUAAAUAUAAAAUAAGGCUAACUAAAUUUGAAAAUAGGGAAUUAUUGAAUGGAACACAUAGAUAUACUUAAAGCUAGAAUCAUAAUUGAGAUAAUCCAAAUGAUACUUAUGUGUAAGGGCGAUAUCUACAAUAGUAAGUAGCAUACUAACGGUGAAAACUUUUAUCUGGUAAUGAUUGACGCUGAGGUACGAAAGUGAGAACAGGGAAUAGGAUUAGAUACCCAGUUACCUCUCACCGUCAACGAUGNUUGGUAGUUGUUAGUUUAAUUAAAUUAGUGACGAUGUUAACGCGAUUACCAUUCCGCCUUGAGAGUACGGUUGCAAAACUAAAACCAAAAAAAUUAGUCGGUCUCGGAGUCAA